rnacentral:rRNA from 1 species
AAUCCCCCAUAGGCCUGAGGUACUGGAAGGUCCUCAGGCCGAAAGGGGCUCUGCCCGCCCGAGGAUGGGCCGGCGGCCGAUUAGGUAGUUGGUGGGGUAACGGCCCACCAAGCCGAAGAUCGGUACGGGCCAUGAGAGUGGGAGCCCGGAGAUGGACACUGAGACACGGGUCCAGGCCCUACGGGGCGCAGCAGGCGCGAAACCUCCGCAAUGCGGGCAACCGCGACGGGGGGACCCCCAGUGCCGUGGCAACGCCACGGCUUUUCCGGAGUGUAAAAAGCUCCGGGAAUAAGGGCUGGGCAAGGCCGGUGGCAGCCGCCGCGGUAAUACCGGCGGCCCGAGUGGUGGCCGCUAUUAUUGGGCCUAAAGCGUCCGUAGCCGGGCCCGUAAGUCCCUGGCGAAAUCCCACGGCUCAACCGUGGGGCUUGCUGGGGAUACUGCGGGCCUUGGGACCGGGAGAGGCCGGGGGUACCCCUGGGGUAGGGGUGAAAUCCUAUAAUCCCAGGGGGACCGCCAGUGGCGAAGGCGCCCGGCUGGAACGGGUCCGACGGUGAGAGACGAAGGCCAGGGGAGCGAACCGGAUUAGAUACCCGGGUAGUCCUGGCUGUAAAGGAUGCGGGCUAGGUGUCGGGCGAGCUUCGAG